AACGAACGCUGGCGGCAUGCCUAACACAUGCAAGUCGAACGAGACCUUCGGGUCUAGUGGCGCACGGGUGCGUAACGCGUGGGAACCUGCCCUUAGGUUGGGAAUAACUCCCCGAAAGGGGUGCUAAUACCGGAUAAUGUCUUCGGACCAAAGAUUUAUCGCCUUUGGAUGGGCCCGCGUUGGAUUAGCUAGUUGGUAGGGUAAAAGCCUACCAAGGCGACGAUCCAUAGCUGGUCUGAGAGGAUGAUCAGCCACACUGGGACUGAGACACGGCCCAGACCCCUACGGGAGGCAGCAGUGGGGAAUAUUGGACAAUGGGCGAAAGCCUGAUCCAGCAAUGCCGCGUGAGUGAUGAAGGCCUUAGGGUUGUAAAGCUCUUUUACCCGGGAUGAUAAUGACAGUACCGGGAGAAUAAGCUCCGGCUAACUCCGUG
rnacentral:rRNA from 1 species